UACCCACUCAACCACACAGCCACGUACUGUAUAAGGAACAUGCCCCACCCCCCAUGAGAAAUAGAGGUAAAGAGAGUGCGUUCGUGGCAGGUGUGUCUUCUAACAAACUCUAUGGUCAAGUAUAAAAACAGGCAAGUUUGCGGGCUCCUCCCCUGUGUUCUGGUCCUUCACGAACUCGGACAGGUGGGAAUACACCAAACGCUCAGAUGAAACUCCUAGACAUUCGAAGAAAGUGUGUGCCAAUGAAAACGCUAAGAGGCGGAUGUACAUGCACCCAGCCAAUGGGUACAAGAUGUAAACAGAGUUUGCCCACCGCCAGAGAGGAAAUUGCCGCGGCAGUGCCUGUAGACACUGUCCAUAUGGCCAAGUCAAUGUAAAAAGACCCAGCCAACAAAAAACAAGUGGGGCCACCAAAAUGUUUUGCCCGCGAGGUGGGGGGCCCAACCAAAUCUUGCCUAGGCCCGCCAAAAGGCCAGGGCCGGCCCUGGAUGCACCAAGCACACUGGUUUAGUGUGGAAGGCAUGAUAUAGUCUGUGUACAGUGUUAUUUUGGACUGCUUUGAGGGUGUGUGUUCUUUCUCAGCACCAUGCUAAAUGAUGAAAUUCAGAGUGGUGUGUGUGCAAUACCCUCAUCCUAUGAAUCACUAGUAUUCUGAGUGUGAUUUUUAGUCUCACAACAGUGGGGGGCUGGAGAAGGGGUUGCUCACUGCAGCCUACAUUUGUUUUCAUUUUAACAUUUGACCAUGUUUUUUUUGUUUUUUUUUCCCUCAGUAAUGGAAUGUACUGCAAAUAAGUAACAUUUUUCCCCCCUUGACAAUGACUUGAAAUGUAUUUUAUUUCAGUGAAUGUCUGAGGUAAUAAUGAUAAUAUUGUUACUGUAUCCAAUUUAUUUUGUUACUGUAUAGAUUUUCUGAGGGAGUAUGUGAGAUAGGCAUCCAGCACACUCAAAAGUGCAUUAUAGGAUCUCUGCCUUCAGGGUAAAACUAUUGGAGACACAGCCAGAGGAAACUCAUAUCUCUUCAUUUUCCCUAGGUAUUUAUCUUCCAAAUGUACACAUGUGAAUUUGAGAACCAUUUAAAACACAAAACACUCCACUGAACUGUCUGCCUCCCACUGAAAGGAUGUGCAGUUAAAAAUAGUGUGCAGGUCAAGGUUCAUCUCUCAGCCUGGCUAGCUGGUUGUACAUAAGUUGAUGGAGCCAGCCUGUUAACAAACAAGCGGUGGACAUCAACAGGCUCGCUCCCUGCUGUAUUUACCAAGGAGCCUUCUGGCAUCGCAAGGCUUCUCCAUGUCUCCCUGCGGCUGCUCCCCCGAUACACAGCCCUAAUGAACCCUGGGCCUCUCAUCAGCCCUGCAACACUGGGAGGCAGACCACCCCGACACACGCACACACAGAGGCACAUGCACACACACAGGCAAAAAUGCACGUACCCACAGACAUGGACACACACAAAUACACAGACAUGGACAGAUACACAAAAUUGCAAUGAAGGUCUCCUCUAAAACCAGACUUUAGGCAUUGUAGAAGACACCGCACAGAGUAGCCCUAAAGCCAGAGUGAGCUGAGGACAACCUUACAUUGAAGUACCUGUGCGCGUGUGUUUAAAUAAACCAGAGAUGUUUAAACCUGUGUGACUUGUGUGUAUGUGGGUGGUAGGAGGUAGCGCUAUACCCCUGGGCACUGGCUCCGAACCUGCCACACACACUUGCCCAUCUCCGCUUGAUGGGGCAAACAGCGUCGGGAUGAGUGAGUGUGUCUGCCGCGGAAUCCUGUUGAAGCCGCCUACUGGCGCGGCCACAAUUUUCCCGGACAGGUGGGUCCCAAAGGCAAAGUGCUUAGUGAUCAGGAGCAAACCCCGGCGAGCGGCUACAAGGAGAUUCAUGAUCCCAACAGUGCUGAGCGGGACAGGUUCGCCGCAACGCGUCGUCAGCCCGGAUGAGAGGCAAAUUUAUUGGGCAACGGCUAUGAAGCGAGGCAGCGGAGCGUUGUGGCAGCGGAGCGUAGUGGCAACAACAGUUCUACACGGAAUGGCGAAGGAAGGUGUCACAGUCAUCAAGUACCUGGGCCCGCCUGCCUGCCACGGGUCUGGGAGUUUUGCCUAGGGACUAGUCUGUCACAUUACACUAGAUGCAUUGCCAUUCAGGGCCUGCGCGCUCCCGCAGCCUGACUAUGAAAUAGGCCAACUUUCAUGUCUGCCUCAUCUCUCUCCGUCGCCUCACUCCACUGAUGGCACAGUUGGAGAGUUUUUUUCUUCUUCUGUGCUGCAGCAGUUGGUGACUGAAAUGCAAACACAGCAGCAGAGCACUCAGUCAGUCCCUCCGCAGCGCAAGCUAGACAGAUAUCUGGGAAACUCACAGUAGCAAGAAACAGGAAACUGGAAAUGUCCCCCACUCUCUCCUGGCUUGUCGCGUUGUCAGGACCUGGUGCUGAAUUUGCUCAUGACAUAUAGGGCUAUAUUUGUGAAUUCUGGAUUCUUUAGAAUAUCUCAGGGAAUGAGUUUAAAUAUUUAACCUAUAAUGAAUAUGUUACAUUGUCCUGUGCAAUAACUAUUGUAUUAUUAAACAUAUAGAAAUUAGUGUGAUUACAUAUUGUGUUGAUAGAAAUUAUUGUUAUAUUUAAGUAGUAUCAACAGUUGUGUCAAGCAUGAUCCAUAUUGACUAAGGACCUGCAUUUAGUUCCACGAAAUACUGUAUAUCAAUGAUUUAAAUCAAACUGUACAAUGUGUCUGAACAUUUUCUUUGUUCCAAGGACUCUUGGAAGAUUAGUCAAAAUGAGGACUAAAAAAUAAAUAAAAUCUCAGACAAAAUCUCAGACAAAGGAAAAUGGAAUGCAGUCCCAUUUCACUGUGUCUGUUAUUGUCUUGGCAGAACCGUAGCCCGUCGAUUCCAGGCUGUGUCUUGAGUGGCAGUCUGCCUGGGCAGUGGCUAGUAGUGCAUUUAUUUCAGGCUAUUUGGACUGAGCCACUCUGACUGACCUUCAAGCUGAAGCAUAUGUUGUUCAGGAGCAGCUAGAUCCUGCUGCGGUCCUGCCGUAUGCCUGAAACAGGAUCGCAGGCAGGGAGAUGUCCAGUUUGAAGCCCUGACUGGCCAGAGAGGCUUCUAUCCUCUCCAGCUGACAGGCCAAGCUCUCUCCAUCUCUUUCUCAAACACACAAAU